CCUACGGGUGGCAGCAGUGAGGAAUAUUGGUCAAUGGUCGGGAGACUGAACCAGCCAAGCCGCGUGAGGGAGGAAGGUACAGAGUAUCGUAAACCUCUUUUGUCAGGGAACAAAGACUGGGACGCGUCCCCGGAUGAGUGUACCUGAAGAAAAAGCAUCGGCUAACUCCGUGCCAGCAGCCGCGGUAAUACGGAGGAUGCGAGCGUUAUCCGGAUUUAUUGGGUUAAAAGGGUGCGCAGGCGGUCUGGUAAGUCAGCGGGCAAAGCCCGGGGCUCAACCCCGGCCCGCCGUUGAAACUGGCAGUCUCGAGUUGGAGAGAAGUAUGCGGAAUGCGCGGUGUAGCGGUGAAAUGCAUAGAUAUCGCGCAGAACUCCGAUUGCGAAGGCAGCAUGCCGGCUCCACACUGACGCUGAGGCACGAAAGCGUGGGUAUCGAACAGGAUUAGAUACCCGAGUAGUC
rnacentral:rRNA from 1 species